GACAGAGGUGCCGAGCGUUAGGCGGAAUCACUGGGCUUAAAGCGUGUGUAGGCGGACUUCUAAGUACCUUGUGAAAUCCCACGGCUCAACCGUGGAACUGCUGGGUAUACUGCUUGUCUUGUGCAACCUAGGGGCGAGCGGAACAGAUGGUGGAGCGGUGAAAUGCGUAGAUAUCAUCUGGAACGCCAAUGGUGAAAACAGCUCGCUGGGGGUUUGCAGACGCUGAGACACGAAAGCCAGGGGAGCGAACGGG
rnacentral:rRNA from 1 species